UAACGAUACGGGACUCAUCCGAGGCCCCGUAAUCGGAAUGAGUACACUUUAAAUCCUUUAACGAGGACCCAUUGGAGGGCAAGUCUGGUGCCAGCAGCCGCGGUAAUUCCAGCUCCAAUAGCGUAUAUUAAAGUUGUUGCGGUUAAAAAGCUCGUAGUUGAAUCUGUGUGCCACGCUGUCGGUUCAUCGCUCGCGAUGUUUAACUGACAUGAUUGUGGGACGUCCUACCGGUGGGCUUAGCUCCUCACGGGGCGGCCCAGCUAAUAUCCCAUCGCGGUGCUCUUCACCGAGUGUCGAGGUGGGCCGGUACGUUUACUUUGAACAAAUUAGAGUGCUCAAAGCAGGCUAUGUUCGCCUGAAUACAUGUGCAUGGAAUAAUGGAAUAGGACCUCGGUUCUAUUUUGUUGGUUUUCGGAACCCCGAGGUAAUGAUUAAUAGGGACAGAUGGGGGCAUUCGUAUUGCGACGUUAGAGGUGAAAUUCUUGGAUCGUCGCAAGACGGACAGAAGCGAAAGCAUUUGCCAAAAAUGUUUUCAUUAAUCAAGAACGAAAGUUAGAGGUUCGAAGGCGAUCAGAUACCGCCCUAGUUCUAACCAUAAACGAUGCCAGCUAGCGAUCCGCCGAAGUUCCUCCGAUGACUCGGCGGGCAGCUUCCGGGAAACCAAAGCUUUUGGGUUCCGGGGGAAGUAUGGUUGCAAAGCUGAAACUUAAAGGAAUUGACGGAAGGGCACCACCAGGAGUGGAGCCUGCGGCUUAAUUUGACUCAACAC
rnacentral:rRNA from 1 species